AAACCACUGGGAUACAACAACAACAUGUCAUCUGUGUUAUUGUACUUGUCAUGUAUAAUGAGGGGGAUAGAGUUGGAUCCAGCCAAGACCGCAAAGGCCAUGGUUGAGACCAAAUAUCAACAAGAGAAAGAGAAGACCAAAGUUGAGGUCCAGAAAGUUCCUGCAGAAACAAACUGUGGUGUGAUUUUGAUGCCACAUUCAUGGAGGCCAGAAGAACACACAAUGUCACUGCUGAUGCCACAGUUGAAGUGCAGACCUGGCAGAACUGAAGAAAAGCAGAACACAGGGUCCCCUCCAGUACUG